GGGUAGAGUCACUGGCAAUGCAGAGCUCAGAGCAGGGUUACUGGCAGUGCAGAGCUCAGAGCAGGGUUAGUGGCAGUGCAGAGCUCAGGGUAGAGUUACUGGCAGUGCAGAGCUCAGGGCAGAGGUACAGGCAGUGCAGAGGUCAGGGUAGAGUUACUGGCAGUGCAGAGCUCAGAGCAGAGUUACUGGCAGUGCAGAGCUCAGAGCAUGGUUACUGGCAGUGCAGAGCUCAGAGCAGGGCUAGUGGCAGUGCAGAGCUCAGGGCAGAGUUACUGGCAGUGCAGAGCUCAGAGCAGGGUUACUGACAGUGCAGAGCUCAGGGCAGAGUUACUGGCAGUGCAGAGCUCAGGGUAGAAUUACUGGCAGUGCAUAGCUCAGAGCAGGGUUACUGACAGAGCAGAGCUCAGGGCAGAGUUACUGGCAGUGCAGAACUCAGGGUAGAGUUACUGGCAGUGCAUAGCUCAGAGCAGGGUUACUGGCAGUGCGGAGCUUAGAGCAGGGUUACUGGCAGUGCAGAGCUCAGGGUAGAGUUAUUGGCAGUACAGAGCUCAGGGCAGGGUUACUGGCAGUGCAGAGCUCAGGGUAGAGUUACUGGCAGUGCAGAGCUCAGAGGAGGGUUACUGACAGUGCAGAGCUCAGGGCAGAGUUACUGGCAGUGCAGAGCUCAGUGCAGAGUUACUGGCAGUGCAGAGCUCAGAGCAGGGUUACUGGCAGUGCAGAGCUCAGAGCAUGGUUACUGACAGUGCAGAGCUCAGGGCAGAGUUACUGGCAGUGCAGAGCUCAGGGUAGAGUUACUGGCAGUGCAGAGCUCAGAGGAGGGUUACUGACAGUGCAGAGCUCAGGGCAGAGUUACUGGCAGUGCAUAGCUCAGAGCAGUGUUACUGGCAGUGCGGAGCUUAGAGCAGGGUUACUGGCAGUGCAGAGCUCAGGGCAGAG